AUGUUAUCGAUAUGUGAAUACAUAGCAUAUCAGAAGGCACACCCGGAGAACUGAAACAUCUUAGUACCCGGAGGAAGAGAAAGAAAAUUCGAUUCCCUUAGUAGCGGCGAGCGAAACGGGAAGAGCCCAAACCAACAAGCUUGCUUGUUGGGGUUGUAGGACACUCUAUACGGAGUUACAAAGGACGACAUUAGACGAAUCAUCUGGAAAGAUGAAUCAAAGAAGGUAAUAAUCCUGUAGUCGAAAAUGUUGUCUCUCUUGAGUGGAUCCUGAGUACGACGGAGCACGUGAAAUUCCGUCGGAAUCUGGGAGGACCAUCUCCUAAGGCUAAAUACUCUCUAGUGACCGAUAGUGAACCAGUACCGUGAGGGAAAGGUGAAAAGCACCCCGGAAGGGGAGUGAAAUAGAACCUGAAACCGUGUGCUUACAAGUAGUCAGAGCCCGUUAAUGGGUGAUGGCGUGCCUUUUGUAGAAUGAACCGGCGAGUUACGAUUUGAUGCAAGGUUAAGCAGUAA
rnacentral:rRNA from 1 species